rnacentral:rRNA from 1 species
UACGGAGGGUGCAAGCGUUAAUCGGAAUUACUGGGCGUAAAGCGUGCGCAGGCGGUUUGUUAAGUCCGUUGUGAAAGCCCCGAGCUCAACUUGGGAAUUGCAGUGGAUACUGGCAGGCUGGAGUACGGUAGAGGAAGGUGGAAUUCCCGGUGUAGCAGUGAAAUGCGUAGAUAUCGGGAGGAACACCAGUGGCGAAGGCGGCCUUCUGGACCAGUACUGACGCUCAUGCACGAAAGCGUGGGGAGCAAAC